rnacentral:lncRNA from 1 species
CUGGAGGCAAAUGCUAUGCAAUAAUAACAGUAUGUAACCAAGGAGAUUACAUCUGUAUAAUAUAUAUGAUGAAGAUGACACAAAGAUACUGUGUUUGGUACAGCAUGAAUUGAAUCAUAGAAAGCAUGUUAGGCACAUGACAGACAGAAGCCAACCCAACUCUCUCUAUGUAGUUUUGACUUUUGAAUGCAUUCCUUUUUGGCAGUGUAUGAUGCACCC